UGGGGAAUAUUGCACAAUGGGCGCAAGCCUGAUGCAGCGACGCCGCGUGGGGGAUGACGGCCUUCGGGUUGUAAACUCCUUUCGCUAGGGACGAAGCUUUUUGUGACGGUACCUAGAUAAGAAGCACCGGCUAACUACGUGCCAGCAGCCGCGGUAAUACGUAGGGUGCGAGCGUUGUCCGGAAUUACUGGGCGUAAAGGGCUCGUAGGUGGUUUGUCGCGUCGUCUGUGAAAUUCCGGGGCUUAACUCCGGGCGUGCAGGCGAGACGGGCAUAACUUGAGUACUGUAGGGGUAACUGGAAUUCCUGGUGUAGCGGUGAAAUGCGCAGAUAUCAGGAGGAACACCGAUGGCGAAGGCAGGUUACUGGGCAGUUACUGACGCUGAGGAGCGAAAGCAUGGGUAGCGAACAGG
rnacentral:rRNA from 1 species